rnacentral:rRNA from 1 species
GACGAACGCUGGCGGCGUGCUUAACACAUGCAAGUCGAACGGAAAGGCCCUGCUUUUGUGGGGUGCUCGAGUGGCGAACGGGUGAGUAACACGUGAGUAACCUGCCCUUGACUUUGGGAUAACUUCAGGAAACUGGGGCUAAUACCGGAUAGGAGCUCCUGCUGCAUGGUGGGGGUUGGAAAGUUUCGGCGGUUGGGGAUGGACUCGCGGCUUAUCAGCUUGUUGGUGGGGUAGUGGCUUACCAAGGCUUUGACGGGUAGCCGGCCUGAGAGGGUGACCGGCCACAUUGGGACUGCGGGAGGGCCCAGUCUCCUACGGGAGGCAGCAGUGGGGAAUAUUGCACAAUGGGCGGAAGCCUGAUGCAGCAGCGCCGCGUGCGGGAUGACGGCCUUCGGGUUGUGAACCGCUUUCGCCUGUGACGAAGCGUGAGUGACGGUAAUGGGUAAAGAAGCACCGGCUAACUACGUG